rnacentral:lncRNA from 1 species
AUAUUGCGGGCUAAUGGGCAUCCUAAUUCCUGGAUAACUUCAGACUCGGAUUCUCUGCGAAACGCCUCUCAUUUGUGCCCUGUACACAGCAGAUGCUCCAUCCGUGGGCAUUUUGGUAGUAGGUGGAUAAUUUCCUGGAAACAAAGCAAGUUCUUCGUGUUCUUGAGAGGUCCUGAUCUCGGAGUCCUGGGAUAGAAGACCACAUUGGACUCCAAGCUCAGUGUGGAGUCUGCUGGAUUCUCUCCCUCUCCCUCCGACCCUCCCCCCAAUCAUGCACUCUCUCAC